GUGACCUUUUCCAUACAGCGUGAUGGCUUUUUUGGUGAACUGAUUCUUCCUUUCUGGUCAGGGCUAAUUCCUAUAGAAAAAACAGACAGCAAAAGACAACAGCAAGAGCAAUGCUUUGUCUCAUCCAUGUGUACAAUAGAUGGUAUAUGGCAAGCUUAGGACAUUGUCAAAUGGUGUGCUAAACCUCAAUUCCAGAAACCGAUUGUAAGGAGGAAUCUGCAUCUGGUAUUGGUAGUAAGGAGAUGCCUUAAAUGGGUGACCUUUUCCAUACAGCGUGAUGGCUUUUUUGGUGAACUGAUUUUUCUUGUCUGGUCAGGGCUAAUUACUAUAGAAAAAACAGACAG